AGCAAGAUGCAGCACCAAGCACCAGCCAUGAGCCCACCACAGGUCCAGAGUGGGCAGAGGCAGAGCCAGGAGCCAGUGGUGAGGAGGGGAUAGCUGCUGUCAUGGAAGGAACAGCCCCUCAGAAGCAAGAUGCAGCACCAAGCACCAGCCAUGAGCCCACCACAGGUCCAGAGUGGGCAG